rnacentral:rRNA from 1 species
GGAAACGAUGGCUAAUACCGCAUAAUGCCUACGGGCCAAAGAGGGGGAUCUUCGGACCUCUCGCGUCAAGAUAUGCCUAGGUGGGAUUAGCUAGUUGGUGAGGUAAUGGCUCACCAAGGCGACGAUCCCUAGCUGGUCUGAGAGGAUGAUCAGCCACACUGGAACUGAGACACGGUCCAGACUCCUACGGGAGGCAGCAGUGGGGAAUAUUGCACAAUGGGCGAAAGCCUGAUGCAGCCAUGCCGCGUGUAUGAAGAAGGCCUUCGGGUUGUAAAGUACUUUCAGUUGUGAGGAAGGGGGUGUAGUUAAUAGCUGCGCAUCUUGACGUUAGCAACAGAAGAAGCACCGGCUAACUCCGUGCCAGCAGCCGCGGUAAUACGGAGGGUGCGAGCGUUAAUCGGAAUUACUGGGCGUAAAGCGCAUGCAGGUGGUUCAUUAAGUCAGAUGUGAAAGCCCGGGGCUCAACCUCGGAACUGCAUUUGAAACUGGUGAACUAGAGUGCUGUAGAGGGGGGUAGAAUUUCAGGUGUAGCGGUGAAAUGCGUAGAGAUCUG